GACGAACGCUGGCGGCGUGCCUAAUACAUGCAAGUCGAACGCAGUGGGGACGGGUGAGUAACACGUGGGUAACCUCCCAUCAGAGGGGAUAACACUUGGAAACAGGUGCUAAACCGAUACUGAUGGAUGGACCCGCGGUGCAUUAGCUAGUUGGUGAGGUAACGGGUCACCAAGGCCACGAUGCAUAGCCAACCUGAGCGGGUGAUCGGACACACUGGGACGGAGACACGGCCCAGACUCCUACGGGAGGCAGCUGUAGUGAAUCUUCGGCAAUGGACGAAAUUCUGACCGAGCAACGGCGAGUGAGUGAAGAAGGUUUUCGGACCGGAAAACUCUGGUGUGAGAGGAGCGGGAUCUAACCAGAAAGCAACGGCUAACUACGUGCCAGCCGCAGCGGUAAUUC
rnacentral:rRNA from 1 species